rnacentral:rRNA from 1 species
AAUACGUUCCCGGGCCUUGUACACACCGCCCGUCAAGCCAUGGAAGUUAGGGGUGCCUGAAGCCGGUAACCGCAAGGAGCUGCCUAGGGUAAAACUGAUAACUGGGGCU